rnacentral:rRNA from 1 species
UACGAAGGGGGCUAGCGUUGCUCGGAAUCACUGGGCGUAAAGCGCACGUAGGCGGCUUAUUAAGUCAGGGGUGAAAUCCUGGAGCUCAACUCCAGAACUGCCUUUGAUACUGAUGAGCUUGAGUUCGGGAGAGGUGAGUGGAACUGCGAGUGUAGAGGUGAAAUUCGUAGAUAUUGGGAAGAACACCAGUGGCGAAGGCGGCUCACUGGCCCGUAACUGACGCUGAGGUGCGAAAGCGUGGGGAGCAAACAGG